GAUUAACGCUGGCGGCGUGCCUAACACAUGCAAGUCGAACGAAGUGGCGGACUGGUGAGUAACGCGUGAGUAACCUGCCUUAGAGAAGGGGAUAGCCUUUGGAAACGAAGAAUAAUACCCUAUGCUCUAAAAUUGACUUGCGUCUGUUUAGUUAGUUGGUGGGGUAACGGCCUACCAAGAAAGCGAUCAGUAGCCGGCUUGGGAGAGUGUACGGCCACAUUGGGACUGAGACACGGCCCAGACUCGACGGGAGGCAGCAGUGGGGAAUUGUGCACAAUGGGGGAAACCCUGAUGCAGCGGCGCCGCGUGAUUUAGAAGGCCUUCGGGUUGUAAAAAUCUUUUCUAUGGGAAGCAGUACCAUAGGAAUAAGGACCGGCUAAUUACGUGCCAGCAGCCGCGGUAAUAC
rnacentral:rRNA from 1 species